AUGUUUCCACUAGUGACGGCCGGGUCGCCCAAAUGUGUUGCGCUCCGAUCAAACCAUGACAACACCUACCUGUGCUCCGUCCACGACGAGAGCCAGGGCGGCAGUAUCGUCGAGCUAAGCAGCGGUGGCGACGGCGGCGUCAAUAACCCGCGCUGCCGGUUUUAUCUGGAGGCGUCCGAGGAGCACGACGGGCACCUGCACGUCAGGUGCUGCCACAACAACAAGUACUGGGUGUCCCAGCAGCGCGUGCAUGGCGACGGCGACGGCGACGGCGACGCACGCUGGGUCAUCGGCACCGCCAAUGAACCGGAGGCGGACCUGUCCAAGCCGUCAUGCACCCUGUUUAAGCCCACCCCGGCCUCGGAGGAGGACGGCUCCGUCAGGUUCCUCCACUCCCAGAUGGGCAAAUAUGUUGGCGUGUUAUCCAGUGGUGAUGUCGCCCAUUUGCAUAUACUAGCAUCUGACCAAGAAGAUGACAAGUCUCUGCUGGUUGGUAGUGGCUUCACUGUUGUGGAUUUGUCGCAGCAUAAGCAAUUGCCUGCACAUGUAUCUUUCAAAGGUGACAACGGCAAGUACCUGGGUGUAUGGAGCAACGGCUAUCAUAAUUAUGUAUGCGUUUCGAAAGAUGACAUCACAGAUCCAAGGGCGUCGCACACACUCACCAACAAUGAUGAUGGAUCCAUCCGUUUACAAUCUGAUUUCCAGAGCAAGUUUUGGAGGCGCAGCCCGGACUGGAUUUGGGCCGACUCACACGACACCACCAACAACAACCGUGACACCUUGUUCGAGGCGGUGAUCAUCGGGGAUGACUUCGUAGCGCUUCGAAACCUUGGCAAUGGCAGCUUCUGUCAGAGGCUAACCGCAGACGGCAAGAUUGACUGCCUCAAUGCUAGUGCUGAUAGCAUGGUAGGACGAGCAAGAUUCCAUCUGGAAGAGCCGGUUAUUUCUCGAGAGAUCUAUGACAUUGAGUUCCACCUGGAUGAGGCUAAGGUUCAGCUCAAGAAACUCGAGGAUGUAAAAACUGCUCAUCUUAUCAAUGACAUCCCUACACCCGGCACACAAGACGUAGAAUUCAAACUCCAAGAGACCAGGGAGAGUACCUGGAGUUCUAGUGUUUCAUUGAAAGUGGCUAUCAAGUCAACCAUUGACUCUGGGAUUCCACUCAUAGUGAAAGGGGAAAUACAAAUUAGUGCUGAAUUUCAAGGAGGAUAUAGCUGGGGAGAAACUAUAACGAAAACACGAGAGACCACCAUGAAAUAUCAAGUCAUUGUGCCUCCAAUGUCCAAGGUCUUGGUGACAGCGAUUCAGUCACAAGGUAUAUGUGAUGUCCCAUACUCAUACAAGCAGAAGGAUGUUCUGUUGAAUGGACAGGAAAUUACUCACCACUUCACAGAUGGCAUUUAUAGGGGUGUUAGUGUGUCUGAUACUACAAUCACUGUCGAACCCAUGCCGUGA
rnacentral:rRNA from 1 species